rnacentral:rRNA from 1 species
UGCCAGACUCCUACGGGAGGCAGCAGUGGGGAAUAUUGCACAAUGGGGGAAACCCUGAUGCAGCAACGCCGCGUGAGUGAAGAAGUAUUUCGGUAUGUAAAGCUCUAUCAGCAGGGAAGAAGAAGGACGGUACCUGACUAAGAAGCCCCGGCUAACUACGUGCCAGCAGCCGCGGUAAUACGUAGGGGGCGAGCGUUAUCCGGAUUUACUGGGUGUAAAGGGGGCGUAGACGGCAGCGCAAGUCUGGAGUGAAAUGCCGGGGCCCAACCCCGGAACUGCUCUGGAAACUGUGAAGCUGGAGUACAGGAGAGGUAAGCGGAAUUCCUGGUGUAGCGGUGAAAUGCGUAGAUAUUAGGAGGAACACCAGUGGCGAAGGCGGCUUGCUGGACGGUAACUGACGUUGAGGCUCGAAAGCGUGGGGAGCAAACAGGAUUAGAUACCCUAGUA